rnacentral:misc_RNA from 1 species
GAUGAAGAACGCAGCGAAAUGCGAUACUUGGUGUGAAUUGCAGAAUCCCGUGAACCAUCGAGUCUUUGAACGCAAGUUGCACCCGAAGCCAUUAGGCCGAGGGCACGCCUGCCUGGGCGUCACACGUCGUUGCCCCCCCAUCUACUCCUUCGGGAUUGCGGGGGGCGGAUGAUGGCCUCCCGUGCGCCUCGUCGCGCGGUUGGCAUAAAUGCCAAGUCCUCGGCGACGCACGCCACGACAAUCGGUGGUUGCGAAACCUCGGUUGCCCGUCGUGUGCGGUCGUCGCGCAUCGAGGGCUCGAAAAAAUUGCCGGGCUCCGGCUCGGCUUUCAACGCGACCCCAGGUCAGGCGGGGUUACCCGCUGAAUUUAAGCAUAUCAAUAAGCGGAGGA